GCUCAGUUGGUAGACCAUGAGACUCUUGAUCUCAGGGUUGGGGGUUCAAGCCCCACAUUGGGCA
rnacentral:tRNA from 1 species